UCUUGGAACGUGCAGCCUUGGCGUUCUUUCUUCGGAAGAAUGUCAAGGUGGGAUACUCCCCUAACUUAAGCAUAUUAGUAGGGGAAGGAAACGAAAGCAAACGCGACGGGCCUAGUAGCGGCGAGCGAAAAGCCUAGUUCCCGCGCCGAAUCCCGUAAGGGAGUUGUGGUAGUCGGAGGGAGCAACCAUGGGGACGUUCUGUGAAGGACGGCGUAACCGGUAAAAGCCCGGAUUCCUUGGUUGCUUCUGUCAAACCGACGUGCAAGAGUAGCAGUGGUUGGUAGUGCACUGUGAAUGGGUGGUGCUUUCCAUCCAAGGAAACGUAUGUCUCCGAGACCGAUAGCGAACAAGUA
rnacentral:rRNA from 1 species